rnacentral:tRNA from 1 species
GCCAGCGUGGUGUAGUGGUUUGAGCAUUGGACUACGACUCAGAGACCAGGGUUCAAAUCCCAGCUUGGCC